rnacentral:rRNA from 1 species
GAAUGCUGACAUAAGUAACGAUAAAGCGGGUGAAAAGCCCGCUCGCCGGAAGACCAAGGGUUCCUGUCCAACGUUAAUCGGGGCAGGGUGAGUCGACCCCUAAGGCGAGGCCGAAAGGCGUAGUCGAUGGGAAACAGGUUAAUAUUCCUGUACUUGGUGUUACUGCGAAGGGGGGACGGAGAAGGCUAUGUUGGCCGGGCGACGGUUGUCCCGGUUUAAGCGUGUAGGCUGGUUUUCCAGGCAAAUCCGGAAAAUCAAGGCUGAGGCGUGAUGACGAGGCACUACGGUGCUGAAGCAACAAAUGCCCUGCUUCCAGGAAAAGCCUCUAAGCAUCAGGUAACAUCAAAUCGUACCCCAAACCGACACAGGUGGUCAGGUAGAGAAUACCAAGGCGCUUGAGAGAACUCGGGUGAAGGAACUAGGCAAAAUGGUGCCGUAACUUCGGGAGAAGGCACGCUGAUAUGUAGGUGAAGCGACUUGCUCGUGGAGCUGAAAUCAGUCGAAGAUACCAGCUGGCUGCAACUGUUUAUUAAAAACACAGCACUGUGCAAACACGAAAGUGGACGUAUACGGUGUGACGCCUGCCCGGUGCCGGAAGGUUAAUUGAUGGGGUUAGCGGUAACGCGAAGCUCUUGAUCGAAGCCCCGGUAAACGGCGGCCGUAACUAUAACGGUCCUAAGGUAGCGAAAUUCCUUGUCGGGUAAGUUCCGACCUGCACGAAUGGCGUAAUGAUGGCCAGGCUGUCUCCACCCGAGACUCAGUGAAAUUGAACUCGCUGUGAAGAUGCAGUGUACCCGCGGCAAGACGGAAAGACCCCGUGAACCUUUACUAUAGCUUGACACUGAACAUUGAGCCUUGAUGUGUAGGAUAGGUGGGAGGCUUUGAAGUGUGGACGCCAGUCUGCAUGGAGCCGACCUUGAAAUACCACCCUUUAAUGUUUGAUGUUCUAACGUUGGCCCCUGAUCGGGGUUGCGGACAGUGUCUGGUGGGUAGUUUGACUGGGGCGGUCUCCUCCUAAAGAGUAACGGAGGAGCACGAAGGUUGGCUAAUCCUGGUCGGACAUCAGGAGGUUAGUGCAAUGGCAUAAGCCAGCUUGACUGCGAGCGUGACGGCGCGAGCAGGUGCGAAAGCAGGUCAUAGUGAUCCGGUGGUUCUGAAUGGAAGGGCCAUCGCUCAACGGAUAAAAGGUACUCCGGGGAUAACAGGCUGAUACCGCCCAAGAGUUCAUAUCGACGGCGGUGUUUGGCACCUCGAUGUCGGCUCAUCACAUCCUGGGGCUGAAGUAGGUCCCAAGGGUAUGGCUGUUCGCCAUUUAAAGUGGUACGCGAGCUGGGUUUAGAACGUCGUGAGACAGUUCGGUCCCUAUCUGCCGUGGGCGCUGGAGAACUGAGGGGGGCUGCUCCUAGUACGAGAGGACCGGAGUGGACGCAUCACUGGUGUUCGGGUUGUCAUGCCAAUGGCACUGCCCGGUAGCUAAAUGCGGAAGAGAUAAGUGCUGAAAGCAUCUAAGCACGAAACUUGCC